UGUUUACAGCAACGGUACCCAGAAAGUCAUCACGUUGGCACUCUUGUCGGCAACUUAAAAUCAAAAGAAAGCUUAGCAUGAAUUACCUGAAUCCUCUUUUAAAGCUACACAAUGUCCUGAGAGGAUUCUUUAUGAGAAAAAUGUCCAUCACAGCUUUAAGACCUUGCUUUGGAAGGAACUAAUGAGAAAGCAGAUGGAAAGCUUUCAGGUAAAGUCCAGCACUUCAUUUAUACAAAGUCUAUGAGAAUAGGUCAGUAGAGAUCAUCUAAUCUUAAGUCGUGACAUCAU